AGACCGAUAGCGAACAAGUACCGUGAGGGAAAGAUGAAAAGCACUUUGGAAAGAGAGUUAAACAGUACGUGAAAUUGCUGAAAGGGAAACGAUUGAAGUCAGUCGCGUCGUUCAGAACUCAACCUUGCCUUCGGGCUCGGUGCACUUUCUGUUUGACGGGCCAGCAUCAGUUUUGACUGUCGGAAAAAGGUCUUCGGAAUGUGGCACCUCCGGGUGUGUUAUAGCCGUUGGUCGUAUACGACGGUUGGGACUGAGGACCGCAGCACGCCUUUUGGCCGGGGUUCGCCCACGUACGUGCUUAGGAUGCUGGCGUAAUGGCUUUAAACGACCCGUCUUGAAACACGGACCAAG
rnacentral:rRNA from 1 species